rnacentral:lncRNA from 1 species
AUGCAAUCAGCAUUAGGGUUUUAAACCCUAAAUUGAAUUUUCCUUUUAGUCAGCAUUAGGGUUUUAAAGCCCUAAACUGAACUUUUUUCCUUUCAGCCAGCAUUAGGGUUUUAAACCCUAAACUGAGCUUUUUCAUGCAAUCAGCAUUAGGGUUUUAAACCCUAAAUUGAAUUUUCCUUUUAGUCAGCAUUAGGGUUUUAAAACCCUAAACUGAACUUUUUUCCUUUCAGCCAGCAUUAGGGUUUUAAACCCUAAACUGAGCUUCUCCAUGCAAUCAGCAUUAGGGUUUUAAACCUUAAACUGAAUUUUUCUUUUAGUCAGCAUUAAGGUUUUAAACCCUAAACUGAACUUUUUCCUUUCAGCCAGCAUUAGGGUUUUAAACCCUAAACUA